AUGCGAUGCAGCCUGUACAGUACCCCCACAACCGCACCACCUCGUCCUCGUCCCCGUGUCUUCUUCUUCCUCUCGUCUAGUGUUGGCUUCUGGCUUUGGCCUUGGCUAGCUGAGGCUGAGCUUCUUCCUCCCUCCUUCCCUCCCUCUAAAGACCAGGAAACUGAAGGUAGCUGGGCUGCGGGUCUGGCAAUGCCGCCACCCAGGGGGAGCCGGCCGGCAGGGUGCAACGGCGGAUCUAUGCUACGGCUGGUCGUCGUCGCCUCCCUCUGCUGUGGUUGCUUCGUCGUCGGGCGCUGGGGGAGCGGCGUCCUCCCUUCGGAUUCUGGGGGGAUGGCAGGAGCAGCGAUCUACGCCGGUGAUCUGGAGGGCUACCAUGGGGGCGGCAGGCGGCGGCUGCUGGCCGGGGGCCCCGGCCCCGGGUCGCACCCGCCGCGGUGCACGUCCAAGUGCGGCAGCUGCAGCCCGUGCGUGCCCGUGCACGUGUCCGUGCCGCCGGGCGUGCUGGUCACCACGGAGUACUACCCGGUGGCGUGGCGCUGCAAGUGCCGCGACCGCCUCUACAUGCCGUGA
rnacentral:rRNA from 1 species